rnacentral:rRNA from 1 species
GGGUUGUGAGGUUAAGCGACUAAGCGUACACGGUGGAUGCCCUGGCAGUCAGAGGCGAUGAAGGACGUGCUAAUCUGCGAUAAGCGCCGGUAAGGUGAUAUGAACCGUUAUAACCGGCGAUUUCCGAAUGGGGAAACCCAGUGUGACUCGUCACACUAUCAUUAACUGAAUCCAUAGGUUAAUGAGGCGAACCGGGGGAACUGAAACAUCUAAGUACCCCGAGGAAAAGAAAUCAACCGAGAUUCCCCCAGUAGCGGCGAGCGAACGGGGAGGAGCCCAGAGCCUGAAUCAGCAUGUGUGUUAGUGGAAGCGUCUGGAAAGGCGCGCGAUACAGGGUGACAGCCCCGUACACAAAAGCGCAUGUGUUGUGAGCUCGAUGAGUAGGGCGGGACACGUGGUAUCCUGUCUGAAUAUGGGGGGACCAUCCUCCAAGGCUAAAUACUCCUGACUGACCGAUAGUGAACCAGUACCGUGAGGGAAAGGCGAAAAGAACCCCGGCGAGGGGAGUGAAAAAGAACCUGAAACCGUGUACGUACAAGCAGUGGGAGCACCCUUCGGGGUGUGACUGCGUACCUUUUGUAUAAUGGGUCAGCGACUUAUAUUCUGUAGCAAGGUUAACCGAAUAGGGGAGCCGGAGGGAAACCGAGUCUUAACCGGGCGUUAAGUUGCAGGGUAUAGACCCG